CCUACGGGUGGCAGCAGUGAGGAAUAUUGGUCAAUGGACGCAAGUCUGAACCAGCCAUGCAGCGUGCAGGAAGACGGCUCUAUGAGUUGUAAACUGCUUUUGUACGAGGGUAAACGCAGAUACGUUUAUCUGUCUGAAAGUAUCGUACGAAUAAGGAUCGGCUAACUCCGUGCCAGCAGCCGCGGUAAUACGGAGGAUUCAAGCGUUAUCCGGAUUUAUUGGGUUUAAAGGGUGCGUAGGCGGUCGGAUAAGUUAGAGGUGAAAUCCCGAGGCUCAACUUCGGAAUUGCCUCUGAUACUGUACGGCUAGAGAGUAGUUGCGGUAGGCGGAAGGUAUGGUGUAGCGGUGAAAUGCUUAGAGAUCAGACAGAACACCGAUUGCGAAGGCAACUUACCAAGUUACUUCUGACGUUGAGGCACGAAAGCGUGGGGAGCAAACAGGAUUAGAUACCCUUGUAGUC
rnacentral:rRNA from 1 species